GGUUGGGGGAGGAGUGGGGAGGAGGAGGAGGGAAACAGGAGACCCCAGGCUUUGGCUAUGACGGGGUCAGCCUUUCUACACCAUUCCGGGAUGCUGGUGUCCACCACUGCUGCCUGGGCACGGGGAACAGAGAAUCUGCCUGGUGGGAGCAGACAAGAGGUUCGAGGACCAGAGCUCAUCCUCUUCGACCAAACCAAUGCACAACUCCUACGUACUGAUGGUGGUCUUACGUUUCCCUAAGUUUCUGCCGACUAAACUGUGCACACGUUCUCAGGACCUCCUGAAGCUGCGUCACAGGCGCUGAUCAAAGAACACAACCAAGAGUUUGGCCUUUUCUUCAGCACUGGGAAUUGUGAUCCAAAGCUUUUCCUGAUGAGGCACAAAGUUGGAGAAACAAAACGCAAACUAAGCAACAAUGAAACAGAACAGAGUGAAUCUGCUGUAGCUCAAGAGAGGACGUAGCUGCCCCCACUCCGCAUCCCCGGGCUCGGGUUUGCCUUGCUGACCUCUGCUGCCACCUGGUGCCGCACAGAGAAACUGAGGAGAAACCACAUCAGUCUCCUUCAGCCUCAGCUUCACAUCUGUGGUGGGUCAAGCAACCCUUUCAGAAGCUGUAUAAUGUGGGAAAGCUUUCCUCUCAGGAAAAUGCACACAUCCAACUUUGAGAAGAUGCCCUUGGGGGCGCUUCAAGGAUCCUAGAUAAAGAACCCCCUUUCCCGAACAUCCAAGAACCUAAGUUUUUUUUUUUUUUUUUGAGAAAGUCUCACUCUCUCUCCCAUUCUGGAGUGCAGUGGUGUGAUCUUGGCUCACUGCAAGCUCCACCUCCCAGG
rnacentral:lncRNA from 10 species